GGCAUGGCGCAGCUUAACAUGCAAGUCGAACGGUAACAGGGAGCUUGCUCCGCUGACGAGUGGCGAACGGGUGAGUAAUACAUCGGAACGUGCCCAGUAAUGGGGGAUAGCUCGGCGAAAGCCGGAUUAAUACCGCAUACGCCCUGAGGGGGAAAGUGGGGGACCGCAAGGCCUCACGUUAUUGGAGCGGCCGAUGGCUGAUUAGCUAGUUGGUAGGGUAAAGGCCUACCAAGGCGACGAUCAGUAGCUGGUCUGAGAGGACGAUCAGCCACACUGGGACUGAGACACGGCCCAGACUCCUACGGGAGGCAGCAGUGGGGAAUUUUGGACAAUGGGGGAAACCCUGAUCCAGCAAUGCCGCGUGUGCGAAGAAGGCCUUCGGGUUGUAAAGCACUUUUGUCAGGGAAGAAAUCCUUUGGGCUAAUACCCUAGGGGGAUGACGGUACCUGAAGAAUAAGCACCGGCUAACUACGUGCCAGCAGCCGCGGUAAUACGUAGGGUGCAAGCGUUAAUCGGAAUUACUGGGCGUAAAGCGUGCGCAGGCGGUUGUGUAAGACAGGUGUGAAAUCCCCGGGCUUAACCUGGGAAUUGCAUUUGUGACUGCACGACU
rnacentral:rRNA from 1 species